rnacentral:rRNA from 1 species
AUUGAACGCUGGCGGCAGGCCUAACACAUGCAAGUCGAGCGAGCGGCGGACGGGUUAGUAAUGUAUGUGGAUCUGCCCGAUAGAGAGGUCUAACUACUGGAAACUGUUGCUACUACCGCAUACUAUAGGAUGAACCCAUAUUGGAUUAGCUAGUAGGUGGGGUAAAGGCUCACCUAGGCGACGACCUCUAGCUGGUCUGAGAGGAUGAUCAGCCACACUGGGACUGAGACACGGCCCAGACUCCUACGGGAGGCAGCAGUGGGGAAUAUUGCACAAUGGGCGAAAGCCUGAUGCAGCCAUGCCGCGUGUAUGAAGAAGGCCUUAGGGUUGGAAAGUACUUUCAGCGGGGAGGCGUUACCCGCAGAAGAAGCACCGGCUAACUCCGUGCCAGCAGCCGCGGUAAUUC